CAUCAAUCAAUAGUCUAGUCGAUGGUCAGCUAUGGGUUUUUGUCAUUUUACCUUCAAAAUGCACCAAAAUCACCACUUUCCUCCAAAUCACUCCAAAACCUGAAAACAUACUAAAAAGACUCCAAAACAACUAUAAUGUAUUUAAAAACACCUAUUUAUCAUGACUAAAAAUGGAUAAAAUCCAUGAAAUAUCAAGCUCAACCCUUUCAAGUGCUCAUUCGAGGUAAGUUCCAGGAAAUAAAAGCUAUCCAUGCGAUUGUUUCACAAGAAGCCCGAAGAAAAUACAGAAAUUGACAAGAAGAAUGGCAGUCCUGAGAAGAUUCAUUUCACGACAAUCAGAUACUCGGCAUCACAUCUCCAACUUCUCUAUGGCCCCUCACCAUUCACAGUCACCUAACAGAAAACAAGCUAACCAAUCAGAAUUCAGCAUCAGGUCAUAUAGAAGAUCAAGAUAAGAAUCUAGUUUCAAAACCACCUCACCUAGAUUGAACAAUAUGCUCGUCAAAUCAUUAGAGGCAGAAGUCAGGAGAUCAGAUAGGACAUUUACGGUAGGC
rnacentral:lncRNA from 1 species